rnacentral:rRNA from 1 species
UACGAAGGGGGCUAGCGUUGCUCGGAAUCAUUGGGCGUAAAGAGCGUGUAGGCGGCCCGGUAAGUCCGUUGUGAAAGUCCAGGGCUCAACCCUGGAAUGCCGAUGGAUACUGCCGGGCUAGAGUUCGGAAGAGGCGAGUGGAAUUCCUGGUGUAGCGGUGGAAUGCGCAGAUAUCAGGAGGAACACCUAUAGCGAAGGCAGCUCGCUGGGACGACACUGACGCUGAGACACGACAGCAUGGGGAGCGAACGGG